rnacentral:rRNA from 1 species
GAUGAACGCUGGCGGCGUGCCUAAUACAUGCAAGUCGAGCGAACGGACGAGAAGUUUGUUUCUUUGAUGUUAGCGGCGGACGGGUGUGUAACAUGUGGAUACCCUACCUAUAAGACUGGGAUAACUUCGGGAAACCGGAGCUAAUCCCGGAUAAUACUUUGAACCGCAUGGUUCAAAAGUGAAAGACGGUCUUGCUGUCACUUAUAGAUGGAUCCGCGCUGCAUUAGCUAGUUGGUAAGGUAACGGCUUACCAAGGCAACGAUGCAUAGCCGACCUGAGAGGGGGAUCGGCCACCCUAGAACUGGGCCGCGGACCAGGCUACUACGGGACGCAGCAGUAGGCAAUCGGCCGCAAUAGGCGAGAGCCUGGCGGAACAACGCCGCGUGAGUGAUGGAGAUCUUCCGAUAGUAAUGCUCUGUUAUGAGGGGAAAACAUAUGUGUAAAUAACUGAGCACAACUUGACGGUACCUGAUCAAAAAGCCACGGCUAACUACGUG